UACGGAGGAUGCGAGCGUUAUCCGGAUUUAUUGGGUUUAAAGGGUGCGUAGGCGGCCUAUUAAGUCAGUGGUGAAAUCCUGCCGCUUAACGGUAGAACAGCCAUUGAUACUGAUGGGCUUGAGUUUGGUUGAGGUAGGCGGAAUGUGUUGUGUAGCGGUGAAAUGCUUAGAUAUGACACAGAACACCGAUUGCGAAGGCAGCUUACCAAGCCAUUACUGACGCUGAUGCACGAAAGCGUGGGGAGCGAACAGGAUUAGAUACC
rnacentral:rRNA from 1 species